GGAAGUCAAAGCAGGCUUUGUCCAAGUUCUUGAAACCAAGAACAGAGGCACAGUUACGGAUUUCCAGCACGUUCUCUUUGGUGAAGAUGAGUUUUGAAGUGUAGGCAAAGUCCAGCAAGGGUUCAAAUCCCUCUGAGGAAGGUUGAUGAUAAUUCCUUCAGGUGUAUGACUGGACAAACGAGUGCUGAAAUAAUCACUGCAGGACGCCAGAACUGCCCCAUGGGCCCGAUAACUCUGGGUCUCUGCCACAACUGUCACGUCACACAGAAGAUCUUUCUUCCUCUGCUCAUUCAGACAUUGCAGAAUGUGGGAACUGUGCACAGACGACUGGAAGGCUGGCGAUUUCAUGUUUGACCUGGUUGAACUCAUUGGCCAUCUUGCAGUGGUUUCUGUACACUUCUAUGGACUCCUUUAGAGACCGACACGGCAGCACCGGCUAGUGAGGAAGAUUGUCUUCUACAUCCUGGAAUAUACACAGAAUCGUCAUACGGCCUGACAAGAGGGUUUCAAUCAAUAGAUGAAACAUAAUAUGUGGAAACAGUUUGCGUUGCUCAAGGUCAGGGAAUGAUGGAAGGGGAUCCUCUGCAUCUUUCAACUCUGAGAGGAAAAGAAAGCCAGAUGAACAUGUCUGGUAAGAGAAUGCUAAUGUUUAAGAUCUUUACUCCAAGGCCUUAGUGGUGACAUCUACAUCCAUCUAAUCAGCUAAAUCAUACCACAGUGCACAUGACACCACAGCAUGUCCAUUUAGCUGUUAGCUAUU